GACGAACGCUGGCGGCGUGCUUAACACAUGCAAGUCGAACGGUAAGGCCGUGCCUUUGUGUGGUGCUUGAGUGGCGAACGGGUGAGUAACACGUGAGUAACCUGCCCUUGACUUUGGGAUAAGUUCUGGAAACUGGGGCUAAUACUGGAUAGGAGCUGCUGAUGCAUGUUGGGGGUCGGAAAGUUACGUCGGUUGGGGAUGGGCUCGCGGCUUGUCAGCUUGUUGGUGAGGUAGUGGCUCACCAAGGCUUUGACGGGUAGCCGGCCUGAGAGGGUGACCGGCCACAUUGGGACUGAGAUACGGCCCAGACUCCUACGGGAGGCAGCAGUGGGGAAUAUUGCACAAUGGGCGGAAGCCUGAUGCAGCAACGCCGCGUGCGGGAUGACGGCCUUCGGGUUGUAAACCUCUUUCGCCUGGGAAGAAGCGAAAGUGACGGUAAUUGGUAAAAAAGCGCCGGCUAACUACGUG
rnacentral:rRNA from 1 species